rnacentral:misc_RNA from 1 species
GAUGAAGAACGCAGCGAAAUGCGAUAAGUAAUGUGAAUUGCAGAAUUCAGUGAAUCAUCGAGUCUUUGAACGCACAUUGCGCCCCCUGGUAUUCCGGGGGGCAUGCCUGUCCGAGCGUCAUUGCUGCCCUCAAGCACGGCUUGUGUGUUGGGCCUCCGUCCUCCUCCCGGGGGACGGGCCCGAAAGGCAGCGGCGGCACCGCGUCCGGUCCUCGAGCGUAUGGGGCUUCGUCACCCGCUCUUGUAGGCCCGGCCGGCUCCAGCCCAUCAACCAUCGAGGACCCGUUCCUCAACCAGGUUGACCUCGGAUCAGGUAGGGAUACCCGCUGAACUUAAGCAUAUCAAUAAGCGGAGGA